rnacentral:misc_RNA from 1 species
GAUGCCUCUGAUUACAGCACAAAUGCUCGUCUAUCGCUCUGCUUCAAUGCUCCAUUUCUACAAACUAUCGUCGCCGCCUAAAUUGCUCCUCCAGCGGUUGAAGCACUCCUAUUCAUACCUCUCUAGUUCCCCUCUAUCAUCCUUAUCUUCUCCAACUUAUUCGUUGAGAAUCCGCUUGUUUUGGUUUAAUCAGUCAUACAGAAGAGGUAAUAGGCGUUUUUCUACUGCUGCUGCAGCUGUUGUCUCUGAUAAGGGGGGAAA